UAGUGAAAUGCUCCCAUCGUAUUCUAUUGAGUGAGCAGAUGAUAAGCCUAUUCUCUCAGGAAACUCCAUCUUAUCUUGAGAUAGAUCCUUCCCCUUCCCCUGUGCUCCGGUCCACAAGGGUCUCUCUCCCUAACAGAGGUCUCUGUCUCCUUUCAAC
ensembl:misc_RNA